rnacentral:rRNA from 1 species
UACGUAGGGUGCGAGCGUUAAUCGGAAUUACUGGGCGUAAAGCGUGCGCAGGCUGUUUUGUAAGUCAGAUGUGAAAUCCCCGAGCUCAACUUGGGAACUGCGUUUGAAACUACAAGACUAGAAUAUGUCAGAGGGGGGUAGAAUUCCACGUGUAGCAGUGAAAUGCGUAGAGAUGUGGAGGAAUACCAAUGGCGAAGGCAGCCCCCUGGGAUAAUAUUGACGCUCCAUGCACGAA